UCAGGCACUGCUGCCCAAAAGAAAAGGGCGAAUUCACACAAAUUCACUCCCCUCCCCCAGACUGCAGUCAGGAAGCAGCCCUGCCGGUGGCUGACUAACUGAGAAAACCGCUGGCUGCUGAAAAGUGGGUUCCGAGUAGAUCUGAAACAACCAAGGCACAUGAGAGUUCACUCAAAGCAAGGUUUUUAUUGAGUUUUCAGUGAAACUGACCAGUCAGGGACCUCAGUACAGACUGGGAAGCUGACUGAGUCCCAGAAUACUCACUCAGGAGGGGAUUUAAGCAAGAAAACCACAAACAUCUGUGCCAACCCACACAGGAUACAAGUUUUUCAGUGUAAGUAAACAGAUAAGUUUGUUCUUUGUGGAUAGAGACAGUAAGUAUGUCUUGGGGAAAUAAAGUUGAAUAACAGGCAAGUUGUAGUACCAAGUAGGAUGUUCAGCCCUAGUGGAAAGUUCCAGCUCCCCAGGAUCUGGAAAGUCCCACCUCGCCUGGGGUCUGGAAAGUCCCAUCUCCCCGAGGGUCUGGGACCCUGAAUGUUGUUUUAACUUCCACUUAAAAUGGAGUCUGGAAAUAAGAUGGCAGUACUUAGGGCCAGUUCCUUUUACUUAAUCUCAACAUAGUGGAUUGUAUUAUAUACUUCAUUUGAUUAUCUUCUUUUUCUCGUAACUUUUCAUGUUAUAAUUGUGUAACACUACCUCAACGUAUUUCCCUAUUCAAAUCAUUGUCACAUUUCAUUUCAUUAUGUAAAUUAUGAGUAAAAAUUAGCCCGAAGUCCUUUCAGCUGCUAGUGUAACCUGAGCUUUAAGGGGGAAAGUCCCAGUUUCCAGCAGCCUCACAGGCUCAUGUCAGUCACUUAGACAAUAUACCAAUGAGAAAGGCAGGGGAUUGGCCUUGGGCAAUGCAAUGAGUACUAAUCAAAGUGGCCACACUGUUCUGAAAUUAAUGACACCUCAGAUUGAAGGCAAUGACUGAUGUCUCCUCCUGCCCCUGCUCUGCUAUGAAGCUGAACAGGUAAACCGAAAUGAAAUAAAGAAAUGAACAAAAUAAAAGCAUCAUGAGAAGGGAAGACUGGAGAGCGGGCUCAGUGGUGGAGGCUUCGUUGCUUGUUGGGGUCCAUAAAGAUGACUCCACUCCUGACUAAAGGCCAGAGAGUUCAAAACUGCCAAAGAUCAAAGCAUGGCUACUGUAGAAUUGUCAAUCUUGGCCUUGGGUGUCUUAUAUAAAUAACAACAGACUUGGUCUGAGGUGUGGUUGCCCUCGAUCCUCAAGGCCAGAUAACAAGAAAUUAGAUACAAGUUAUGGUUACUGAAUCCUUGGAGUUUACAUGAUUAAAAGUCUGUUUGUUCCAUAUGCAUGAUACCAUGUUCACCUUCUCCGUUAAAGUAUUUUCGAGUGGUGAAAAAUAGCUGGGCGUUGGUGAUGCAUGCCUUUAUACUAGUUCUUGGAAAAAAAAAACAAGAUGUUUUUUCAUAAAAUUUCAUAUUUUUAACAAGGAUUUCAGUCACUAAAUAAAAGUUCAAUCUGUGAACUAAAAGUAUGUCAUUUUCUAAAACCUUAGCUUUUCAUGAAGAAUCAUUCCUUUUUAUAAAAAGGGCAGCUUUCAAAUUAAAAGAUCGUUUUUGAUCAAAACCAAUAGUUUUAACGAAUAGUCAACCUCUUCAAUAAAAGUCCAACUGGAAAUAAAAAGCUGAGCAUUUAUGAAAAAACUUCCUUUCCGAACACCUUCGUUUCAAAAUAAAAACGCACUGACAACUGUCUAACUUUCCUGAUCAAUGUUUCAUUUAUUUUGUAGUAAAGAACGCAAUAUACAAGACCGAGCUGAGUAUGGUGGAGCAGACUGAAAUAUAAAAACCAGGAGGAGGACCCGACUGUCUUAAGGGUUGGCUGUUUUCGUUAUAGACAUGGGGGAGUAGACAGGCAGACAGAGGAAGAGGUUGAGGGGAGGCAGAGACAGAAAAAUCUGGGAAAGUCCCAUGGCCAGACCUAGCUGUGCUGCACCAAGAGAGAGGGGGACCCAGAGCUAGAGCUGAGUCUGACCUAAAGAGGGUGGGGACCAAGGUACUAGCCAAAGGACUGGUGGUGGCUGAGUUACACUGGGGCCAUUGGAGCAGGGGAAAGGAAACCAAGCACCACACCUGGGCUGGAGAGUUCAGGAAAGGGAGAGGAUUCUGCCUGGUACUCAGGGAGCCCAGAGAGGGGAGGUCAGCAUCCGCUUUGAUUUGUUAAUAAGCACUUUACAGGUGCUGAACAGCUUAGGGACUGGUGGCUGGUGGGGAGUUUGGAAGGUUGGGAGAGGGUAAGGGAUUCUCCAAGGGAGGAGGGCAAGCCUUGCAGUUCCCUGUCCUCAUUAUGUGCUGGAGGCCUGAAACCAGAGGCCUUGGUGGGAGAGGAGGACCUGGCAGAAGCAUCCCUUUGCAGGUUUCUGUUCCUUAUGCUGGCUCUGCUGAUGUGCUGGGGCUCGGGAAGCUACUGGCACCCUAUCAAAAACAAACAAACAAACAAACAAACAAACAAAAACAAAACUAACAAAAAACACAAACAAACAAAAAUCCCACCAGAAAAGGACUUACUUUCAGCAAAGGGGAAGUGUAUUGACUAUUUAAAAAAAUCCCAUGGGAAGCCGCCUGAGAGAGAAAAAUCCACUCAACAAUAGCAUGGGCCUCUUGUGUUCCGGGUCAAUGUUAGCCCAAUUGUAUGCUUAAGAAUGUUAUACACAUAGCGUUGGUGUGUGUGUGUGAUGCCAUGCUGUGAUCCAAGCACUCUGCCUGCAUUGGUAGGGGAUGAGAACUGCAAAUUCCAGACCAGCCAGUUAGAGCUGUGACUACCAGGCCAGAUACAGCUGGAUUCCAGAGGGUGUUCCCAGCAAGACUCUCUGGAAAUUUUCUUUAAAAUUCCAAUUCAUGGGGAACCUCAAAAAAGCCAUGAUGGCCAUUGUACCACGCCAGACUUCCAGUAGUGUCACUGAUCUAUAGUACUAGAAAUAACAUUCAGUUUGCUGACAUCCAAGUACUUGCAUAAAUUGAUGACAUUGUGAUUGCAUGGAAUCAGUGACACCUGGUUUUUCACCAAGAUAGAAAUGAAAGCAUACUUUUGAGAAAGGACAUAAAAUGCCUUCAACAAAUAUUUCUUGCAAAACUUGAUGGCCACAAGUGGGAUGCCAUUAUGUCUCUCUGUCUCUCUGUCUCUGUCUCUGUCUCUGUCUCUGUCUCUCUCUCUCUCUCUCUCUCACACACACACACACACACACACACACCCCUCUUAUAGAAAUACAGUUCAAAUGGUUCCAACAUUCUACUCUACCCAAAGCUGGAGAGUUUGCAGAGAAAGAAGUACCCGCUAGCUUCAUGGGCAAGCAUUUUCUGAUUAGGACUCUGGUUGCCGAGGAAACACUGCCACCAUCUGGCAAAUGAUGUCACUAAUCUGAAAAUCUUAGUCCCAGCAAAGGAAAUGAUAUGUUUGUUAAGUAUCCAAAGAAUUGAAGAAAAAAAAUUUUUGCUAGCUCUUCACCUGGCAGAGGAUUCCUUUUGGCUUCCUUGGGAACCAGGAAUGCACCCAGCACCCAUAGACUUAUCUACAUAAAAUAAAUGUUAUAAAAAGUCAAUUGUCACCUCCACAGCUCAUUACUCUCUUAGGAGGCAGAUCUUUGGGCUAGCUUGUAAGGUGAGGUCAGUAGCUGAGCAGAGGUGGGAGAGUCAAAUCCAUUCUAAGUGUGGGUGGCAACAUUUCAUUGACUUGGGUCCCACACUGAAUCAAAAGGAGAGAGAGCUGAUUAUAGAUACAAUGCUAUCUGCAUAUGUAUGCAUGUAUGCAUACAUCUAUAUUUGCAACAAACAGAGUAAAGUUUCAUUAUAUCUUGCUUUUUUGGGCAUCUGUACAUGCAGUAGUAACUCACUGAGAAUUUUAAGCCAUCCCAUCAAAAGUCUUAGAUUGAGCUGGUGAGGUGGGGCAUGCCUCUAACUCCAGCACUUGUGAGGUGGAUGCAGGAGAAUCAUGAAAAUCAUGAGUUGAAGGCUAGCUUCAGUUAUUCAGCAAGUUUGAGGUCAGCCUGGGCUGCAUGAGACUCUGUUUCAAACAAAACAAAAACAUCCUUUGUGGUAACUUGAAAUCCCAGCAGAAGAAGCAAGGAAAUUUGGACUUUGAGAUUAACCUGACUGCACAGUGAUACCCUGUCUCAAAUAAAACAACUCCUACCAUGACAAUAUUUUAGAUGACCUUGUUUGUUAAGCUGAGUGUGAUCCCCUAGUGACUGACACUCACUUAAAAUUUGCCUUUUCCCCUACAUCUUUUUAAAUGUUCUAGAAUUUAAUCAUUUUUUUCUAGCUAUUUAAAAAAAGCUGGCUUCCCGCUUGCAGGUAUCUUCUUGGCUCUGUCUUCCAAGGGCUGAGAUUAGAGGUGUGAAUCAACAGCCCCAGCUUGCUUUAUUUAUUUAUUUAUUUAUUUAUUUAUUUAUUUAUUUAUCUAUUUAUUUAUUUAUCUAUUUACUUUGUGGCAGUCCUGCAAUCGAAGCUGACCCAGAACUUGAACCUCCUGAGUGCUGGAGCUUUGACCCAUUUCUUUCUGGCUAUGAUUCAUCUGAUCAAAUAUUUUCUCAUUGUAGAUUACUCUCCUUCAUGCUUGUACUUGCAAAAACACACAUGCUAUUAUUGUUUAUUUUACUGUGUAAAGUGACUUGUAAUAUGCUCUGUCUUUUUUAUGUUUUGUGUCUUGUUCUGUUGUUUUCUGCUUUUUUGUUUGUUUGUUUGUUUGUUUGUUUUGAGAUAGUGUCUUGCAGCGUUGUCCAGUCCGAUUUUAAAUUUGUUAUCUCCCCAGUCCUGGGAUUACAAAUGUUUUCCAUGACACCUGGCUUCACAGUGUAUCUAGAUUAGUUCUCCUUAAAGUGCAAGUAACUUUUUUUUAUUGAUUACACAUAUACAUACAAACCUUUUGGAAUAAAAAUUCCCCAGAUA